AAAGUUUUUAUACGACCGCAAAAUUUGAAAAAAUUUUCGUCGUAUAUUGCUAUCACGUUGGCGUCGUCGUCAUCGUCGUCCGAAUACUUUUAGUUUUCGCACUCUAACUUUAGUAAAAGUGAAUGGAAAUCUAUGAAAUUUUAACACAAGGUUUAUGACCACAAAAGGAAGGUUGGUAUUGAUUUUGGGAGUUUUGGUCCUAACAUUUUAGGAAUUAGGGGCCAAAAAGGGCCCAAACAAGCAUUUUCUUGGUUUUCGCACUAUAACUUUAGUUUAAGUUAAUAGAAAUCUAUGAAAUUUUGACACAAGGUUUAUGACCACAAAAGAACGGUUGGGAUUGAUUUUGGGAGUUUUGGUUUCAACAGUUUAGGAAUUAGGGGCCAAAAAAGGGCCCAAAUAAGCAUUAUUCUUGGUUUUCGCACAAUAACUUUAGUUUAAGUAAAUAGAAAUCAAUGAAAUUUAAACACAAUGUUAAUGACUACAAAAGGAAGGUUGGUAUUGAUUUUGGGAGUUUAGGUCCCAACAGUUUAGGAAUUAGGGCCAAAAAGGGACCCAAAUAAGCAUUUUUCUUGGUUUUCGC
rnacentral:lncRNA from 1 species